rnacentral:rRNA from 1 species
CCUGCUGCGAGCACCUGAUGCAGCCAUGCCGCGUGUGUGAAGAAGGCCUUCGGGUUGUAAAGCACUUUCAGUAGGGAGGAAGGUAGUGUAGUUAACACCUGCAUUAUUUGACGUUACCUACAGAAGAAGCACCGGCUAACUCCGUGCCAGCAGCCGCGGUAAUAGA